rnacentral:rRNA from 1 species
UACAGAGGGUGCGAGCGUUAAUCGGAAUUACUGGGCGUAAAGCGCACGUAGGCGGCUUGGUAUGUCGGGUGUGAAAUCCCCCGGCUUAACCUGGGAACUGCGUCUGAUACUGGGAGGCUUGAGUAUGGGAGAGGGAUGUAGAAUUCCAGGUGUAGCGGUGAAAUGCGUAGAUAUCUGGAGGAAUACCGGUGGCGAAGGCGACCACCUGGACGAAGACUGACGCUGGAGGCGCGAGA